rnacentral:lncRNA from 1 species
UAUUUAUUAUCCUCUGCUCCUGAUUGAGAUAACACUUGUAAAGUAAGCUCAUAGAGUGGUGGAUAUAGCUGAGCUGCUGCACUUGUUCCUUUACUUGGACUUGAUUCGGUUUCUUUUCUUUUAGGAGUCAUAUCGUCUUAAAUUAACAAGAACAUAAAAUAGAUUAUAAUUGAUUAAUGCAUAAUUAAAAAAGGAUAACAGUAAAUCUAAUAUGCA